UGGCACUAUUGAUGUGCGGACAGAAAUGCCCCUGAUUUUUUGCUUGAUUUACCGUUUUGCCUUUCUUUACUUCUUUAGCCUUCGAUUAGGUUUUUUCUGACCUUUACCUUUGUUUUGCCUUUUCUCUCUCGCCACCGAUCUCUUCUUGGAUCCGUCUUCUCUCUCACAAAUCUUUGCUUCUGUCAUUUUCGAACUACAAAUCUCUUCUUCCGUCUUCUGUUUGCGCUCUGUUGGCUUCUCUCUAUAAAAGUCCUCUCUCUCCUCCUUCGCCAUACCCAAGCUUUUCUUUGUCGGUUUGCUUUCCUGAUUUCUGCUUUCCCCUUUUGCUCCCUGCUGCAGAUCAGCAGCUGCACUGCUGUUCUUCCUCUCCUCCUUAAUUCUUCCACUCCAAAUACUUCAUUUCAUCAUAACAUUUUCAUACGGCAACGAAAUCGCGCAAGGUCGGAGCUUAUAGAUUCGUAUUAGAACCCUCUUCCAUUUGAUAUGAAACCCACACCUCAAAAUCAACCGUGCUCAAAGAUUCGAGCCUAGAACAGUGACGGUUUUUUGGCAGAGUUUUGCUGAUUCCGCCCAAUCCGGCAGGAAUUUGGUCUCGGCCCAAGAGAGAAAGUUGAUCCUCUCCUGACGAUAUUUCUACCUAUACUUUCGUAAAGGAAGAACCCAGAAGCGAUAUGUUCACUGUUCAGCAGCUAAUAGACGGGGGAAAUGGUGAAGAUGGCAAUGCUGAAAAUGAAGUUUCUCAGACACCAAGAAGUAAUCUUUUCGGCUUCUCAGCCUCGCUUGAUGAUGAGUGUUCUCAUGGAGAUGACUAGCGGAGUGUUCUCAUGGAAAAUUUCAAAUUAAAGGUUGCAAUCAAAUCCUUAACAACUUUUAUGCUUUUUUUUCCUCCCUAAUUGGGAGUAGCUGAGCACGGAACCGUUAAUUUGGGUUACAUUUGGGGAGACUAUAUAUGUUUAGGUGUCGAUUCUAGACUAACCUGUGUCGUGACUAAACGUACCACCAGCUUAACGUACAACAAGUUCUUUCGAUUAAGUCGGGAUGUGGGCCUCACCAUGGCUAGUCUAAGGUCGGGUUGGGAAGAAAUGUUUUGAUGGCUAUAAGUGAUUAAGUCUAAACUUAUAUCUUAUUACCUCAAGAAUAUAUACAUUGGUUUUUGACUCCACUCUAACAGUUUUCAGAUUUUCUGAGGAAGCUCAGAGGGUAGAGACUGCCGCUCGUCUAGCGUACCAGCUUUCCAGUGUUGGUGGCUCGAUGUUUAGCCUCAUGGUGGGUUGAGACACUACUAGUCUCAACCCACAAAUGUUUUGAGUGAGGUGCUGUAAAUUGAUUACUAUUGGCGCUCAAGCAAUGACCGUAGACACAAGUAAAAAAUAGUAAGCAUCAAUAACUUCAGUUCAGAGAAGAAUAUAUUACUUUUGUUGUUUUCUUAUAAAUAUAUGAUAAUAAUUAUGUUAUGAGUAAUUAUUUAUGCAGCAUAAACCUUGGUUACUUGACUGAUUACGAUCACAUGGAAGUGGGACAUGCUGCAUCGUAAUCAGUCAAGUAACCAGGGUUUAUGCUGCAUAAAUAAUGACCCAGAACAUAAUUAUUAUCAUAUAUUUACAAGAAAACAAUAAAAGUAAUAUAUUCUUCUAUCAAUUGAAGUUAUUGAUACUUACUAUUUUUGACCCGUGGCUACCGCCAUUGCUUGAGCGCCAGUAGUAAUCGAUUUACGACACCUCACUCAGAACAUCCAAGGGUUGGGACUAGUAGUGUCCCAACCCACAACAAGGUUAGACACCGAGCCACCAGCACUGGUACGCUAAACGAGUGGCCGUCUCUAUCCUCUGAGCCUCCUCAAGCAAAUCUGAAAAUUGUCAGAGUGGAAAUAAAAAAUCAGUGUAUAUAUUUUUGAGGUAAUAAGAUAUAAGUUUAGAUUUUUCACUUUUAGCCAUCGAAACAUUUCUUUCCAGCCCGACCUCAGACCAACCAUGGUAAGGUACACAUUCCGACUUGAUCGAAAGAACUUGUUGUAGGUUAAGCUGGUGGUACGUUUGGUCACGACACAGGUUAGUUUAGAAUCGACGUCCAAGCAUAUAUAGUCUCCUCAAAUGUAACCCAAAUUAAUGGUUCCGUGCUCAACUGCUCCCAAU